AUACGGGGGGAGCAAGCGUUGUUCGGAUUUACUGGGCGUAAAGGGCGCGUAGGCGGCCACCGCAAGUCAAUUGUGAAAUCUCCGGGCUUAACUCGGAAAGGUCAACUGAUACUGCGGGGCUAGAGUGCGGAAGGGGCAACUGGAAUUCUCGGUGUAGCGGUGAAAUGCGUAGAUAUCGAGAGGAACACCUGCGGCGAAGGCGGGUUGCUGGGCCGACACUGACGCUGAGGCGCGAAAGCGUGGGGAGCGAACAG
rnacentral:rRNA from 1 species